rnacentral:rRNA from 1 species
UAAUACGUAGGGUGCAAGCGUUGUCCGGAAUUACUGGGUGUAAAGGGUGCGCAGGCGGACCCGCGCGUCAGAGGUUAAAUAUUCCGGCUUAACCGGAAAGAUGCCUUUGAAACGGCGGAUCUUGAGUGUGAGAGAGGAAGAUAGAAUUCCUGGUGUAGCGGUGAAAUGCGUAGAUAUCAGGAGGAAUACCGGUGGCGAAGGCGGUCUUCUGGCUCACUACUGACGCUUAGGCACGAAAGCGUGGGGAUCAAACAGG